rnacentral:tRNA from 1 species
GGUGGCUCAGUGGUAGAGCACUUGCUUUGCAAGCAUGAGGCCCUGGGUUCGAUUCCUCAGCACCA